CAAGGGAUGGAAUAAAACUGGAAAAGAGCAAAAACAGUACUGAGACAUGCCUCAGCUCUCUGUUUAGAAGGAACUUUUGAUAAGAAACUGGUCAGCCAUUCUGAGAGUGGUGGAAAGCCUGUCAAGGUCACUGCCAAGGACAAGAGAGUCAAUUAGUAUGCAGAUCAGAGCCAAGGAGUUCAAAGGAACCAAAUCAAAGUGGGACUCUCACAUGAAAAAAUCAAGGACGGCAAAAUAAAAGGACUUCAAAACAAAGUCCAGGCCUCAAAGAACAUUGUCAGAGAAGCCAUAUACUGGAAUGAAGCAUGACAUGGGAAAAACCCCAAGAUCAAGCCCUUUUUUUUUGAGACUUUUGGUUCAGUAAUCAGGGCUGCUGUGAAGUUACAGUCGCAAUAUAAAGAUGACAAGAAGUUCAAGACAAGAUAAAGGACCCCUGUGAGAUUGGACACUGAGAGAAGGUGAUGAAAGGAAGGGCUGUUUUUCCAGCUGAGUGCAGAGUACAGCAGAGAAAGAAUGGCCUACAGUGACCUGGACCAUCUGAGCCACAAAUAUCUGUCACUGCUGUCACAGAGGUGCAAAGUCGUGCUCCUCUAUGGAAGGAUACUCUCAAGGCAAUCACUGAUGCUGUCUGUUCCAGGCUUUUUUCCUCUCCUUAUACAUUUUAAUAACCAAACCAUUAACAUAUAGAAACAUUUCAUCAUAAUCCAGGUGAGAGGUAGCUAGAAUUUUUUUUUAAUUUGCAUUUGUUCUAAAUUUCAACGAAAAUAUAAAAUUACAAAAUCUCGACAGAUGACUUAAGGAGAUAUUAUUAAUGGGAAUAUUAAACAAUUAAAAUAAAACCUUUAAUGUAAUUGAACAAAGUAUUCAUCCACCCUGCCAAAUGGAGUGAGUAGUUAUAGUUUUAGAGAGGACAGAUGGAUAUGUGUUAAGCCAUCUAGCUUCCUGGGUAGCUCAAGAAAUCAGUAAGCUACCUAGAAAGACAUGGAUAACUGGACCUGUGGGAUACUCAGGGCUAAAUGAUCCUAAAAGGAAGACAUCUUUAUUUCAACAGUAUUUACAGUCACUCAUUAGAGAAAUUGAUAAUCAUUAAAGAAUUAUCUUCAAGGAGAAAAUACAAUUCAUGGUUUCAUACUUUACAGACUCUCCCUGGAGAUGAUGAAUUAUUGGUAGUCCUGAGAAAGGCUCCUUCCUUUUCAUUAUUUCAAAGCAGACAGAGAUGAUGUUGUAGGUGAUGAACAUGGCUAAAAAACUGGUGAAAGCCCACUGUGACAGGGUGGGCAGCAAGGGUGGCUUGAAUCUAUUUGAGAAGGGCUAAAACACUCACUGGCUGUUCCAACUACAUUAGGCAAGAUUGCUAAUAAGUACCUCAGUUUAAGGUAAAACUCUCUGCUUUAACAGAAGUGCUUACCACAGCACAGGUUCAAACCUUGAUCAAACUUGAUCAAACAUUUGAUCAAGGGAAACAUUGUACAAUGUGGAUUUUAUUUGAAAGUUUUCCUUGAUCAUAUCACAACAAAUUACAUAAAAUCUAAUAUAGGAGUUGAUUAACAGGAAAAAUCAUAGGUCCAUCAAGUGUAGUAAUUAUCUUGUAGAAAUAGCUUGCAAUGGAUGCUUAAAGAAAGAAUUUAAGAAGAAAUCAAAUACAGACUCUCCCCUAGCACAGUAUUCCAGUUUCUGGUAAUAGGAUGUGCAAAGGGAUUCUGAGAUGAAUGGGACAUCUGAUGUCUCAAGAGGUUUUUCUUUCAUGGUUUCCAACUGUUGUCUGAAACUAUUUGUACUAGUAGCAUCCAAAACAUAUUCUGCAAGGACUUCUACUGUUAUAUCUAAAGAUACUUCCUUUAGUUUGUUUUAAAUGGGGUAUUUGAUAUUUCACUUUGGACAGGUAAUCCAAAUUACAUUAUUGUCUUUUUUUAAAAUAUAAUUAUAAUAUCUAGGAUAAGACCUUUGAUUAGUUAUCUUUACUUCAGGGCUUUUCCUUUGUAUAGAUUUGCAUUUUAUGUCACUUGCCCUUUCAUCACUCAGCUACUCGACAUUGUGUUCUUCUCAUCUAAACUUAGCACUCUGAGUACCAAAUACCUGGACUGAGCUAGUUCUACCCUCAGACAGGCAUCUAAGAGAAACAGAAUCAAUCAUUGGCUGGAAACACUCUUGUUUCACGCAGUGUUUUAUAGCAUCUCCAUUAAUUCAUUUCUCUAUAAGCCUCCUAAAUCUGGGUUUCUUUUUUUGAUAUUUCCAACAAAUUUACCCAGUAGAGAAAUUAAGAGUAUUGCUCUAUGGUUUCCUGGGUCUCCCUCCUCACUACAAAAUGCUUGAAAUAAUUUCUGUUGUGUUUCUCACCUCCACUCUUUUGGUACUGAGGUCAAUUUAAGCACUAGGUUACACACCACAGCGAGUAGUUUGGCAAUUUCAUAUUUGAGUUCCUUUAGAGCACUUGCAUGAUCUGGUCCUGAUGACUUGUCACUAUUCAUUGUAUAGAUUUGUUCUUAAACCUCUUCUACUGACACAUCAAUUUAAGAGUGUACCUUAGAUUUGUCCCUCCAUAAAGAGUAGUUCCAGUGUUGAAACCUCUCAAAGCUUCUCUGCAACAAGCAUGGAUGCAAAGAAUUCAUUUAGCAUUUCUAACAUGGACUGUUCUUCUUACAGCUGCAGGCCUGGUUGACUCCCUGGCAGCAUUCCUGCUUCUGAAGUAUUUGGAAAAAAAAAAAAAAAAAAAAGUCUUUAGUGUGCUAUUGUCCAAAAUUUCCUAUCGCUUGCAUUCAUUUUGUGUUCAGGCUGCUACAGGUUAUACUCUAUUCUGUUAUCCUUUGUCAGAAAAUAUUGCACGUGACACACCAAAUAAAGGAAGCAAACUGGUAGGAUUUUGGGGACAGGGCAAGAGCUACAGUGACAAAAAUACAAGACUUACCUAUACUUAAACAAUCAAGAACACCACCAAACAUCAUCCCUUGCCUACAGAUAUUGUGAAAAGGGUGAAUUCUACUAAAGUGAGAAUGAUAGCUAAUAUUUUACAAUUCCACUAAGGAUCUUGAGGGAAAAAAAGUUAAUUUCCAAUUUAAAUAUUUUUAUCAGAUUUGAGGAAAAUUGCCUGAUAUUUCUGAUGUCCACACUUUGGGGAAAGACCUCAACAAAGAGCAGUACAAUUUUUUUGUUUCAUUUUAACCAUGAAGUGGUUUCAGCCCAAAGAGUUAUUGCAAUGAGCUUCAUAAUAGAAUUAGUAGAAAAGUUUUAUUGGUUGGCUUCAAAUAUUUUCAUCCAGCUUUCAGUUCAAAUUUACAGUUCCAUUUGUAUGUUCCCCCUUUCAGUUCAUUGUCAUCCUAGAUUUUCAAGAAGUCUUCAUUAAUGUCGGCAUCUUUUUAUUCUCCCUUUCUUUCUGUAUUUUGUUUGGAGAAACAGAAAAUAGCUGAGUGUAAGUGUAACUUUCUCCUUUCUUAUCUGAAUUCCACCAACUGGGCAAGAACAUCCAUAACUGGAAGGACUUCUGCUCAUAAUGCUGUUGUGUAUUUGCUAAUGCAAUGACUUAAAGAUUGCAGAAAUAGUGCAAAAUAUAUAUAUAUAUAUAUAUGAAAUUGAGAGGAUGGUUGAGGAAAAGCUAACUAUGGGUUGCCUACAGAUAGAUCUUGUUGGCAGUCGAUAUUUAGGAGCAGGCUAGAAAUUUGGAAGAGAAAGAGAACACAAAAUGAAGUAGCUGGAAACAGAUGUUUUCCUGCAGCUUUCUGCAUAUGCUGCUCACAGAACUCAUUGUGAUUCCAGUACAAGGACAAAGACUCAGGACAAAACAGUAAGGCACACAGAUAAAUCUUACCCUACUUUUCCCCACAGUCAUUGAAAAUUAAAAAAAAAAAAAAGCAAGUAAUCUGAACCAUAAGCUUCUGAGGUGGUCCACAUCAUCAACACCAACUGUGGAUGAAUGCAGGAAGAAUGCUUCUCUACUCACCUGGAAAUGUGGGUGCUUUUUGACAUGGAAAAACAGACCUUUUUCAGUUUAGUGCUUCCAGUAUAUUUAAACAAUUAAAACACUAGAUUUCAUACCCGAAAGCAUAUACUCUUGAUUUUAUUACUUUAUUUUGCUUGAGAAAGCAAUUGACCUGUUGGAAAAGCAGAUGAAGUGUGCAGUAUAUUGUUGUUAUUGGCCCUAUUCUGUCUAAAGUUCUAGAGAACACUUUAUUUUUAAUUUUACUGAAUAUGUUUCCAUAUAACAUAGAGUGUUGCUUGUGCUGCAGUGUACAAUGUCUCAGCCCAUAUCCUUAUAGGUCUCAUAGUCUCAUAGUCAGGAGUAACAAAUUUGUGGAUUCUAUACCAUAAUAUUAUUUGCUUUAAUGUUUAAUCUCAGACACGGCGAACUGUUUACAACCAUCUUAACUUGGCAUUCUACAGAUAGCUGUUUCUCCUGCUUACAAACAAGUUACAUUAAUGUAAUGAUUCUGCAAUUACAUAAAAAGAUUACCAGACCACUUGAAAAUCCCCUACUAGCAUUCCCAUUUAUAUUAGCAUACUGUUCUCAAUUAGAGUAAUAUACGUCUGAUGAUUCACUUUACUGCAAAACUUAAUUUGGAUUUCUUGUUAAUCCACAUUGUAUCAGUGUUUAACACCAAAUAUAAAUAAAUGCCACUGAUUUUUUUUUUGCCAGAAACAAAAAAUAAAGUUAAUCGGACUGUUUUGUAGAACAAUUUUUAUGUACCAAAGUUUAUUAUUUGAUUGCUGCAAAAUAGCCCACCUUCAGUAGGCACAGCACAUCUGGUUGAUUUUCUGAGAGGGAAUAAAUAAAUUUCUGAGUUGAUGGGUAACAGUGAUGGUGACAGAGACAUCAGUGGCAUCCAGACAGUGAUCGUCUCACUGCAGAGGAGAAAGUAAAGAACAGAAGAAAGUAAAGGUGCCCACAUUUGCAGAAAGUUUUCUUUUCAAGGUGACCAUUAGCUUUCACUGAGGAUAAGCUUUUCAUCUGCCUUCAUCUGCAAAGCCAAGUUAUUAUAAUGGAAGCCACCAACAGGCUAAGGAGGGAAGGAAUUUGAAAGUUUGGUAGAAAUGUAUGUUAAAAAUCUGUUUAAGACAAUAUGAAAAACUGCUCACGUACAUACAAAUAGGUGAAAAUUCUUUUUCAGCUUUAUUUACCUGAGAAUGAAUUUCAGUUUGAAGAGGCCUUUAUGUCGUUUCAGGGAAAGCACCUAAGAUAUAAGCAAUUUUCAACAAGAGUACUACACAUUUGUCUUUAUAACAAUUUGUAUGUAACAGCUUUUAUGCAAAUGAUGCUAAAGUGGCACCUUUUUUCUAAAUUGGACAUUUUUAUGGUUAUAAUUUUCUUCUGUAAUAACAGCAAAAAAAUGGUUGUCCCAGUGGAGUUGAGCAUUUCAUCUCUAGUGCUGUUUUGUGAAGUUGGAAUGACAAGUUUCUUUCAUUUGCGCAAAGAAUGACAAAAAGAAGUAUUUUUUGUCAUUCUUGUCUGACUGGGUUGAGGCAGUUACACUUGGAAGCAGCACCAGUCCCCUGACACCAACCUUUUCUCUGCCAUCAAGAAUGGUAUCAUAAAGUCAUAAUAAAACUUAAAGGAACUAAAAAAUAUUGCUUUCUCUCUGUUUCUGCUCUUUGAAAGACAUAAAUCACUUUGUUAGUUUAAGUAGUUGCUGCUUUGGUGUGGUCUUUGGCGUUGAUUCGCACUCAUUCUCCAGAGGUCAGACAGGUGACUUUUACAGACCAUAGUUUUGGAUUUAAUUAACUAUGAUACGAGAGAAUUUAUGUAUUUCAUGCAAACAUUCCAAGGCAUUAGUAUAAUAAACCAAGUAACAUAGGCAGGUUCUUGUUGCUUAAUUGACUAUGCAGUUCUGCAACAGUGAUAUGAGAAAUUCUGGGUCUUUAACAACGAUUAAAUUCUAUCCCAGCUACUAAUUAAUUAGUGAUCUGCAACCAGGAAACUUUAGGAUGGAUGAUUUUACCCCCAUAAAGUGAUAAAUUGGUAGACUUUGAGACGUACAAUAAGGUUAACAAAAUCAAAUUGAAAUCUGAUACUUCAUCUCAUAAAGUAAAAUAUCAUAAAAUAUAAUUAAAUGUACUAUUUAGUAAAAAAUCCACAAAUGUUUAUUUGAAUGUGAACAGCCAAUAAAUACUGAAGCCCCUUGUGUGUCUCUC